UACGUAGGGUGCGAGCGUUAAUCGGAAUUACUGGGCGUAACGCGUGCGCAGGCGGUAAUGCAAGACAGGUGUGAAAUCCCCGGGCUUAACCUGGGAACUGCAUUUGUGACUGCAUUGCUGGAGUGCGGCAGAGGGGGAUGGAAUUCCGCGUGUAGCAGUGAAAUGCGUAGAUAUGCGGAGGAACACCGAUGGCGAAGGCAAGCCCCUGGGCCUGCACUGACGCUCAUGCACGAAAGCGUGGGGAGCAAACAGG
rnacentral:rRNA from 1 species